rnacentral:rRNA from 1 species
CAAGUCGAACGCGGUUUAGUAGCAAUACUAACUGAGUGGCAAACGGGUGAGUAACACGUGGGUGACCUACCUUCGAGUGGGGGAUAACGUCCCGAAAGGGACGCUAAUACCGCAUAACAUCCUGUCCUUGAACGGAUGGAGAUCAAAGCCGGGGAUCGCAAGACCUGGCGCUUGGUGAGGGGCCCGCGUCUGAUUAGCUAGUUGGUGAGGUAACGGCCCACCAAGGCGACGAUCAGUAUCCGGCCUGAGAGGGCGGACGGACACACUGGGACUGAGACACGGCCCAGACUCCUACGGGAGGCAGCAGUGGGGAAUUGUUCACAAUGGGCGCAAGCCUGAUGACGCAACGCCGCGUGGAGGAUGAAGGUCUUCGGAUUGUAAACUCCUGUUGCUCGGGACGAAAAGCCUCGGCCUAAUACGCCGAGGUCUGACGGUACCGAGUGAGGAAGCCCCGGCUAACUCUGUGCCAGCAGCCGCGGUAAUACAGAGGGGGCAAGCGUUGUUCGGAAUUACUGGGCGUAAAGGGCGCGUAGGCGGCCCGCUAAGUCGAACGUGAAAUCCCCGAGCUCAACUCGGGAACUGCGUCCGAUACUGGCGGGCUUGAAUCCGGGAGAGGGAUGCGGAAUUCCAGGUGUAGCGGUGAAAUGCGUAGAUAUCUGGAGGAACACCGGUGGCGAAGGCGGCAUCCUGGACCGGCAUUGACGCUGAGGCGCGAAAGCUAGGGGAGCAAACGGGAUUAGAUACCCCGGUAGUCCUAGCCCUAAACGAUGAAUGCUUGGUGUGGCGGGUAUCGAUCCCUGCCGUGCCGAAGCUAACGCAUUAGCAUUCCGCCUGGGGA